rnacentral:rRNA from 1 species
AAUGGGGGAAACCCUGACGCAGCAACGCCGCGUGGGUGAUGAGGGCCUUCGGGUCGUAAAGCCCUGUCGGGAGGGAAGAAAUGAUUGAGAGCUAAUACCUCUGGAUCUUGACGGUACCCCCAAAGGAAGCACCGGCUAACUCCGUGCCAGCAGCCGCGGUAAUACGGAGGGUGCAAGCGUUAAUCGGAAUCACUGGGCGNAAAGCGCACGUNGGCGGCCUGGUAAGGCAGGGGUGAAAUCCCACAGCCCAACUGUGGAACUGCCUUUGAUACUGCCAGGCUUGAGUACCGGAGAGGGUGGCGGAAUUCCAGGUGUAGGAGUGAAAUCCGUAGAUAUCUGGAGGAACACCGGUGGCGAAGGCGGCCACCUGGACGGUAACUGACGCUGAGGUGCGAAAGCGUGGGUAGCAAA